rnacentral:rRNA from 1 species
UACGUAGGUGGCAAGCGUUGUCCGGAAUUACUGGGCGUAAAGAGCGCGCAGGCGGCUGGUCAAGUCCGAUGUGAAAGCUCCCGGCUUAACUGGGAAAUUGCAUCGGAAACUGAUCGGCUUGAAGAUGGGAGAGGGUAGUGGAAUUCCCGGUGUAGUGGUGAAAUGCGUAGAUAUCGGGAGGAACACCAGUGGCGAAGGCGACUACCUGGCCCAUUCUUGACGCUGAGGCGCGAAAGCUAGGGGAGCGAACGGG